rnacentral:rRNA from 1 species
GUAGGUGGCAAGCGUUGUCCGGAAUUAUUGGGCGUAAAGCGCGCGCAGGCGGUUCUUUAAGUCUGAUGUGGGAAGCCCACGGGCUCAACCGUGGAGGGUCAUUGGAAACUGGAGAACUUGAGUACAGAAGAGGAAAGCGGAAUUCCACGUGUAGCGGUGAAAUGCGUAGAGAUGUGGAGGAACACCAGUGGCGAAGGAGGCUUUCUGGUCUGUAACUGACGCUGAGGCGCGAAAGCGUGGGGAGCAAACAGGAUUAGAUACCCUGGUAGUCCACGCCGUAAACGAUGAGUGCUAAGUGUUAGGGGGUUUCCGCCCCUUAGUGCUGCAGCUAACGCAUUAAGCACUCCGCCUGGGGAGUACGGCCGCAAGGCUG